rnacentral:lncRNA from 1 species
GUUUGAUUAGGAUUUGGUAUAGGAUUUAGGAUUUGAUUAGGAUUGGUUUAAAAUUUAAAAUUUUUCUAAGAUUUAAUUUGGAUUUGAUGUAAGAUUUGUAUAGGAUUUGGUUUAGGAUUUAGGAUUUGUUUAGGAUUUAGUUUAGAAUUUAGAAUUUAUCUAGGUUUUGAUUUAGGGUUUAAGAUUUGUAUAGGAUUUGAUUAAAGUCUAUUAAAUUUUUAUUUAGGAUUAAAUUAGAACUUAAUUGAGAUUUAUUUAAGAUAUAUUGUGAUUAUUUUAAUAUUUUAUAGGAUUUGUAAGGAUUCUUUUAAGGAUUAUUGUGGAUUAUCUUUGAAUUCCUUUAAGAUUUUUUA